GCCAGGAUAGCCAAGGUGGUCACGGCGCGUGUCUGAAAAACACGAGAUCUCGGUUCGACUCCGAGUCCUGGCA
rnacentral:tRNA from 1 species